rnacentral:rRNA from 1 species
CACCCCCACCCCCACCCAUCGCACCAAAUUCCUAUCUAGGGUUUGGUUCCCCCGUCCGGUCUCUCUCGAUCAGCCAUGGAUAAGGGCCUCUUCGCCAACGACGGCUCCUUCAUGGAGAGAUUCAAGCAGAUGCAGCAGGAGAUGCAGGACAAGGAGAAGCCCGCAGCCCCCGCCACCACCGCUGGUGCUGUCUCCUCUGCGCCGGCCAAGCCUGUCAACCCUAAGACGCCCCUUGUCAUUGCGGCAAACAAGAGGCCGCUCGAGGUGAAGAAGGCUGGCUCGGUUUUGUCGGGCGGGAAGCUGGCCUUUAGCCUCAAGAAGAACAAGAUCCCCAUUGUGCCUGUCAAGUUUGGAGCCGAGGAGGACGACGACGAUGACGUUGCCGGUGUGGAGAGGGGGGAUCAUGCGAAGCGGCACAAAUCCAUUGAUGCUCACUCAGCUGCUGCCCCAGCUAGGGUUGUUGCCUCAGCACCACCAAAUGAUAUGACAGUGAGGCAGGUUGCUGACAAAUUAGCAAGCUUUGUUGCCAAAAAUGGGAGACAGUUUGAGGAUAUUACACGCCAGAAGAAUCCUGGAGAUUCACCAUUCAAGUUUCUGUUUGAUAAAAACUGUUCAGACUACAAAUAUUAUGAGACUCGGCUUGCUGAAGAGGAAAAGGUGCAUGCUCAGACAAAGGAUGCUCAGGCUUCAAAAAUUGUUAAUUCAAGCACUGCAAGCUCCAUAGCACAUACUGGUGCACACAGAAGCUCAUUUGAACAAAGAUCUAACUAUCAAACGCCUGCUUCCGCUUUAUAUGGUGCAUAUGAAGGUAGUUCUUCCCAGGGAAGCUCAUCUGGUCAUGGUGGUCAAAGUAUGUCUGCACCCUCAGAUCCAGUAGCAUUGAUGGAAUUCUACAUGAAGAAAGCUGCACAGGAAGAACGGAAGAGACCACCAAGGCAGUCAAAAGACGAAAUGCCACCACCUCCAUGCCUUAUUCAGGGUCCUCCUAAGAAGGGACACCACAUGGGGGACUUCAUUCCUCAAGAAGAACUCGAGAAGUUCAUGGCACGCUGUAAUGAUGCUGCAGCACAAAAGGCUACCAAAGAAGCUGCAGAGAAGGCUAAGAUUCAGGCCGAUAAUAUUGGGCACAAGCUUCUCUCUAAGAUGGGCUGGAGGGAAGGUGAGGGUCUUGGCAGCGAGAGAAGUGGCCGUGCAGAUCCCAUUAUGGCUGGAGAUGUGAAGCAGGACCACCUUGGUGUUGGUGCUAUCCAACCUGGUGAGGUGUCAUCUGAAGAUGACAUCUACGAGCAAUACAAGAAGCGAAUGAUGCUAGGCUACCGCCAUAGGCCAAACCCACUGAACAACCCAAGGAAACAAUACUACUGAUACAAGGGGAGGUCAGCUGGGGGGAGACGUAAGAAACCAAUUUUGCUGCACUGUUUUGCUCACAGAACUAACUGCUGCUUUGGGAAAUGACUAACAGUAUUGAAAGCUUUGUUCAUCAGCAAGAAGCCCAGAGGUUGAUUUAUUCAGCAAGUAACUUGGAAUGCCACAGCUUUGGGGCUUCCUGGGGUUCUGCAGUAGCUUUGCUGUUUUAGUGUUUGUUUAAGUACUACUACGAAUGUGUCCUACGGUGGUGUUUUAUGCCAAAGUUGAUGUUUCAAAUGGUGAUGUAUUUCUACCUCUGUUGGUGGACAAUGUAACUUUGUGAUUAUGGAUUUUCUGCUGGGACUUCCUUCAGUUGAUUAUACUGCUUCUUAUUUUGGCCAGUGCAAAGCG